rnacentral:lncRNA from 1 species
AUUGCUGAUUUGGUAACCACCUCAGAGCAUAUCCUAUUUAUUCCCAGCAUGGACCUAAAUCCACUUCAGCCAAAAAUGAACAAAGAAAUGAUGAAGAACAGAGCCUGUUUCUUUCUCAGUGGUGUACUCAGAAAAUAGGAUGCAAGAGUAGAAGCUGAUCCUCGAGGCUUGCAAAAGUGGGGUUCUUUCUGAAAGUGAAGCCAGCAACCAAGAGCCACCCUUCAGAAGAUAAAAGGAAGAGCAGCUGCUUGAGCAAUGGCCACAGCAAUGCAUGGGUCCUGUCUGUCCACGUAGUCCUGUCCAUCUGCCUGUAGCUUGCCAGGUCUCCUACCCACACUGGGGAAAUUCCAGCUGCCAGCCCUCUUUGGGUUGCACCUCCCCUUUUUGCACAGGGCUCUAUUGGGAAAGCAGCUGUCAUGUGUCUAUUUGAAAGACAAGAAACCAGUCUAGUUAUAGAAAAGAGAUUUAGAUUACAUCAGAAUAACAAUGCAAAUCAUUUGUGCAGUUCUUAGUACAGAAAACAGAUUUAGGAACAAAAAUUGGGAGGGUUAAAAAAAGUGGUUUUUUAUUCUGUCAUCAAAAUUGUUUUUUAAAAACAUCACAAAAAAACACAUCUGUAGUAAGAUAAAUAAUUGUGUGCUGACUUCAUAAACAGAAUGAAUGAUUGAAUUCACACAAUGUUAUUUACUGUUUCAGGGCACACACACGUGGUCUCCAAGUGGUUUCUUGCCGCUUUGGCCUUCAACUGGCUUUGCUAUUUUCCACUGAGGAGUGUCUGAUUGUCUCCACCACAGCCCUGAGUCUCAGCAAAAGCCCAUGGAUUGGUUGACUGGUGUUCUUGUUGUCCUUGGAAGUGGACAGACUGGCAGAUGUGGGGCUAGUGGGGAAGAUUCUCAUAAACACUUUAUUUGUUGUAAGAACUCCAGUUGGAAUGUGGCUUCCAAUCAUGGGAGGAGGACAGCUUUAGAACAGGAAACUUUCUAUAAUAAUACCAAUACAACCAAAGACUAUUAUUCUGAACAGAAAACAAGAAAUACAGCUGGAGCUAUUUCCUAUCUACCUGAUGAAGGGCACUACCAGGCGGUCACUCUGGCUCUGUCCACCAAUGCCUGUGCCCACUUUGUGCGACGUAGCUUCCAUGGAGACAAGAGCAAUGGUAAUGGAAGAAGAAAGUCUGGAUGUACUCGUGCAGAAACAGAAAGCUUCAUGGAACAAUAUUAAUCUUCUGGUCAUCUCUGUGCUGGUCUAGUUACCCAUAAAGUUGUCAGACUGACUUUGGAUUUAAAGUCUGAAAAUGAGUCCCAAGGAAAUCUGUUGACAUGAGGCCCAAGGAAGACAGUUUUUGGAAGGGGCAAAGUGGGACAGUUCUCUGCUCCAGUGAAGCUAGGUAUGGCCAUGUGACCCAUGUUGCCAGUGAAACAGGAAGAGAAGGGACAUCUGGGUGGAAACAUUUAAGAGUCAAGUGUAUUUCCCCAUACUCUCUUUCUUUGGCUUUGGCAGUGGUGAAGGUCAAUCCAAUUACAGUUGAUUCUUGAACAACAGAGGUUUGAACUGUGUGGGUCAACCUAUAUACAUGGAUUUUCUUCUGCCUCUGCCACCUCUGAGACAGCAAGACCAAUCCUUCCUUUUCCUCCUUCUUCUCAGCCUAUCCAAUGUAAAGAUGACAAAGAUGAAGACCUUUAUGAUGAUUCACGUCCACUUAAUGAACAACGUACCUUUCACCUCCCACCAUGAUUCUGAGGCCUCCCCAGCCAUGUGGAACUGUAAGUGCCAUUAAACCUCUUUUUAUUCCCAGUCUUGGGUAUGUCUGUAUCAGCAGUGUGAAAAUGGACUAAUACAGUAAAUUGGUACCAGUAGAGUGGGGCAUUGCUGAAAAGAUAUCUGAAAAUGUGGAAGCAACUUUGGAACUGGGUAACAGGCAGAGGUUGGAAGAGUUUGGAGGGCUCAGAAGAAGACAGGAAAAUGUGGGAAAGUUUGGAACUUCCUAGAGAUUUGUUGAAUGGCUUUGAC